AGUCAACAUAUUACAAUGCUAGCCUAAUUUGUACCCAAUUAAAUUUAAUUUCAAUUCAUCAAUUCAAUUAUGACCCAAUUUUAAGUAUUCAAUACUUUGAAUCUCAGUCGUUGAUUAAAAAGUGAUCUAUGGCUGAGAUCAAAUUUUUUCGCUCUUUGCUUUUUAACCCUUAACAGCAAACCCAACGCCCGUUUUCAUUUUUUCAGCCGUACAAACUCACUCCUACUCUCUCUAUCUUCUCUCUAUCUUUAUCUCUUUCCCCCUCAAUAACCAUGGCAGCCGCCACCAUCUUCCGCCACCCCAAACUGGGGAACUCCAUCGAUGUCACCGCUUCUCUCAGGCGAACUUAUCUCUGCCACCAACAUGCGGCCGACUAGCCAGAUCCGCCAGACCACUAGUGCCAUCAAUGGUAAAAACAACGAUGGCUAGUCUUCCCAAGCUAUCAAAUCUCUCCAGUAAAAAGCCAUGGCCGCCGUCCUCUUUUCUUCAGCAUCGCCGGUUGCCGCUGUGCAAAACGCCAUGCAGUCAGUAAGAACAGUCCAACCACCAUCCACGGUGACAAUGUCGUCGCCCCGUGACUCAGUCCACCACCUCCAUCUCCUUCGAUCUAUUCUCCCAAUCACCUAGAUCUGCUCUUCCACCAACACUGCCAGUCGCCACCACUGCCCAUUUCAGAAAACGAUGGGUCUCAGAAACCCAUCCACAGGUUUAACCCAAGUAUUUAGAUAUCUGUGUUUAAUUUUAUACUAAUUCUUCUUCUUUUUUUCUUUGAAAAAUUUUGGAUUCGAAAUUAACAAAGUAUGAUUGAUCUCUUUGUCUGAUUCUCUGCUAUUUGAGUUUGUUUAUGUGAUAAGACUAUUAUAUGUAAAAAGCCCCAAAUUCCAUGUCUAGGUGCUACUUUUUGAGAUUCUUGGUUGAAGUAUUUAUUUUUUUCAGUAUCAUGUUACUACUUACUGACUUUUAGCAUGUCUCUCUUUCAGUUUGACAUAUUUUGGUUAAUUAGUUAAUUCGGGAUUGCUACAAUCAAUAUGUUAUAUGACGUAGAGGUUAGCCUGUCUUUUAGUGAACUCCUUGAUUUCAUUAUUCCUUCACUUAUUCGCCUUCAUUUGGUAAACUUGACUCAUCUCACUUUAAUUAUGAUGAUUGUUAUCGUGACAGAUUCUGGUUGGUUAUACAUGUUGUUGAUUAAUCGUUUUUCUAAAUAUUAGCUUUUUCUUUUAUUUUCUUGGGGAUGAAUUUUGACAUAAUUGAUUAUAGCAUUUUGUUUGAGGAAACUUAAUAGCCUUGAUUGACUUAUCAAAUAUUCUCUUAUUUCUUUGGCUGAACUUUACAAGAUUUCAUACUCUUAAUUGUGUUAGUUGAAAAAGGAAAUUGGAGGGAUUGAUUUUUCUUUGAUUGAAUAUUAUUAGUUAAUUAAUUUUAUGUUUAGAGAAAAUAUCCUUGACUGAUUGCAUUGAAUAUUUAUUUUUCUUUUAUUUCCUUGACUGAACUUUGCCUAAUCUGUCAUUAUUGUUUGAUACAAGUGUUUAUGGUAAAUUUGUUCUUUUUAUAUCCUAAAAUUGAUUCAAUCUUUUUCUAAUUAAAGAAAAUAUUCUGACUGAUUGUUAAAAUAUUCUCCUUCUCCAUGAUUGAUUCUGAUUGAUUUUAAAAUAUUUCUUCCUUUUAUCCUAUGGACCCCUUUGCUAUAUAAACAACCCCCAUCCUCAUUCCCAAGGACAAGCCAUUUACAACUUACGCUCUCUCACACGAAAACUUUAAACAAAUAAAUAAUUUUAUUUUAUUAUUUCUGUACUUAUCUUUGGAGCAUUAAUCUUGAGCUUUUGGUGGAAAUUCAUUCUCGAAUCGCAUGCAUCCUUGGUUUUCUUUUUAUUAUUAUUUGUUGUCAUCGACCGGUAAGUCACUAAUCGAUGCAUUCUUUUCUUAUCCCAUAAUAUUUGUGAUGGCAAAACAUAGAAAACAUGUCUAUAGGAACUAGUGUGAACGAUGAUGUUGUGCUUGGUUGUGAUGUCUUUGUGCUUUUGUUUAAGACAACAUGUUCGUAUGUUCGAGUGUUCCUUUUUGUGCUUGCCCUGCUCUUUUGCUCGGAUUUGACAGGUACUAAGCAACAUUGGAAAAGUUGUCAGGGUUUUGGGAUGGGUGUUGUUUAUUUCUCAUUAGUCUACCAUUCUCUUUUAUUAGUCUUUUGUUAGCCAUGAGCCUGUAAUAUUAUUGUACAAACACUAUUGAUGUAAUAAUAAAUUUUGGGAAUUGCUUCGGGGGUGGAGAUUUAUGUGCUCUAUGAAUCACAUAGGCUAACACAACUUAGGUAUACAUGCUCUAUAUGUUAUGUGAAUCACCUAGGUAAACAUAAUUUAGGAUUCAUUAAUUAAAUUGUCGAUCACUUAGAAAUCCUGAUUUUAGGAGUUUAACUGAUUUUGCAUAAUUAUAAUUUCUUGCAACGCUUGUUUCUUUCGGCAUGUUUAAUGAAAUUUGGCAUAUUACGAAUGACAUUUUUUUGCAUCUUUUUAAUUUUACAACGUUCAAGCAACAUUUUUAAACUCACUAGCUAAAUCUCCUACAUUUUAAAGUGAAAUCUAGUGCAUUAAAUCAUUCUCUGGUGCAUAAAAUGAUUGAUUGCAGUAUGUGUCUCGCAUGGUAAAGUCAUUGUCGACACAUGUUAAGUUCUUGCAUAUCGUCGCGUGGUUUUCAACGUACCAACGGUGUCUAAGCAUGAUAAUUUUGUGAGCAUGUUAACAAUUAAACUUGAGUACGUUUUUGCAUGUUAAAACAAAUUUUAGCAUUAUUAGAGUACAUUUCUGCACGUUAAAAUAAAUUUCAGCAUUAUUAGUGUAAGUUUCUGCACAUUAAAACAAAUUUCAGCAUUAUUAGCGUAUGUUUUUGCACAUUAAAAUAAAUUUCAGCAUUAUUAGGGCAUGUUUCUGCACAUUAAAAUAAAUUUCAGCAUUUUAAAACUACUUUCAGCAUGUUAGUAUUAAAAUUUAAACAUGUUAACAUUAAAUUCCUGCACUAUUAACAUAUUUUUAGCAUGUUAGAAUAUUAAAUGCGAGGCAUUUUUAGUAUGUUAUUGUAUUAUAUUCCUGCACACUAAUACAACUGCCAGCAUGUUAAAAAGUAGGUUUUUAAGCAUUUUUAACAUAUUAAACACUAGAUUAAGUACAUCAUUAUGUACCUUAGCAUGUUGAUGUAUUUUCAAUAUUGUGUUUAUUUCUUACACUCUCAUUAGUUUAUAACACUUGCACAAUGAAAGUCGGUCAAUUGGUCGGAUGAUGAUUAAACAAGUUGGGGUUCUGAUCCGAAUGUGACCGAAAACAUUUUUUUGUUUGAUUUGAUGAAUUCUUUUUUUAUUUUUUAUUUACUUUACAUGCUUAUUUAUUUGGGGUAGUUAGUUUAGUACAUAAGCAGUCCCCUUCUGUUAUAAAUUAUGUCAUUUCUUUCUCCUCGUUUAUCCUAUUAUAUAUUUUUAUCACUUAGAUAAUUAACAAUUUGAAAUAAUAAGAUAAUAUGUUUUGUUCAUUAAUUGUUUUAUCACUUAGUUAAAUAUUAAAUUAAUAAUAAAAUAAGAGAUCUUAUUUGAUCACAUAGAAUCCUCACGUAAAAUAUAAAUUCGGCCGGGAACCACCUUUGUGGACCUCGAAAGGUGCCUAACACCUUCCUUCUGAAGUAAUUUGAACCCUUACCCGAAUCUUUGUUGAAUUAAGACAAAACAACAAAAUAGGUUCGUAGUAGCCUAGAUCGAUGUCCUAACACACCUUAAUUCAUUAGGUGGCAACUCUUCAUACUCUACCCUUAAAGAAUCUCAAAAAGAGUGGUCACGUCGAAUCUCGCUUUGCUGGGAUCUUUGGUUCUAACCAUUACAAAUUUGUGCUUUAUGUGGGAUUCUCUCCAUUUGUUUUGAUAAUGUUUAAUCUCCUGAUUUAUUUUCUAUAUGUUCUUCUUUUAGCGUUUGAUUACAUCAUGAUUUAUUAGUCCUUUCUCCUUUUCACUUUAUGUGUUAUUUACAUUUCUCCAUGUUCAUUUCUUUUCCUUUUUCCCUAUUUAUUGUUUAUGCAUUAUUAUGUUCAUUUAUACGUAUGUUGUUUAGCAUGUUAUAUUUCACUAUGUGAUAUGUGUUAUUGCUUUUUAUAAUUGGCAUUUCGCUCAUACUUUCCUCUGCUUGGAACCUCCUUUAUUUUUUUUUACGGACGGUUGCAUGGUUAUACGGACGUUCUUUCCUAAAGCACCCUUUGAAAAAUGUCUUGUGGAUCGGUUGAUCAGCGUUGUGUCGACAGUCACAAGCUUUCCCACUCUCGAGUUGUCCACUUGAGUUCUACCAUGUCACAAACCCACUUUUGUCCUUUUUAUUUUGGCUACAUAUUUCUUUUAUUAAGAAAUAUGUGUCCCAUUCAAUGCAGGAUGCCUUGGCAUCCUUGACGCAUUGAAUGUUAGUCUCAUUCAAAGUCCAAAGAGGUUCAUGACCUCAAAGGGACUCAUAAUUACUUGCUAUAUAUUGCAUUUCUAUGUAUGUAUUGACAUGUGCCUAUCUUGUUGUUAGUCACUCCUUACAUUUAGUGUUCCUCACUUUAGAGCUCGUUACUCUUAAAAUUCUUGUCAUGUUAGGUCCUUACAAUACACUCUUAGGGCCUAUUCAAAAUUCCCUAAUUCAUCCCAACCUGCUAUUCAAUUUUUAUAACUCUCAAAAUUUUGAACUACGUCUGACCUGAUUCUUGUUUCAAUAAGAUACGUAGGCAAUCCCUUUGUAAGGAUGCAAUCUUCCUUUUCCCUUUUUUUAUAAAACGUCCUAAUAUUUGAAAAUAUGAACCAAUCAUUAUCAUUCCAACAAUUUUUCUAUCAAAUCAUAUCCUCCAUAUCUUUCACCUUUCCAUAAUGCCAUAAGGGUGCAACUUAGAAGUUUUUUUAUUCAAAUGAUUUUUCACAAUCUUUCAAACUCUCAAACAUUUCAAACUAAAUACUUCAAAAUGUUCAAAACUUUGUGAAUCUUUAAUUCUUCCAUUUAUUCAAAAUAAUUUCUUUAAACAUUAUAUCCCUGCAAUAUUUUAUCAUUAUUCACUUGUUCACUUAAUCAGCUUCAAGUAUGAAUUUAGUAUCUAAGUCUUUGUGAGAAUCUAUCUUCCAUCUUGUGAUGUCAAUUUAUUUUUCAACCUUAAAAUUCUAACCCACCCAUUCGUCCUAAAGUCCUCCUUGACAAAAUGACUCAUAUCGACAUACUAUCUCUUUUCACAUUGAGCACACUGAUACUUAUUUUGUUUAGUUUAUUAUUUAAAGGUUGUCUAGCGUUUGAACAUCGACUCGAUUGAAAAUCUGCAAUGUGACCAAUAUGCUCAAUAUCCGGAAAGAUUACAUCCUGUUUUUCUCUCACUCAAGGUAAAACUCUGUUUAGACGGAACCUCUUUAUUCUCGCGUUAUUCAUGUACCCUCUCAACAAUUUCCUUCUACAUUCACCACUCUUGAAAAUGGGAGACACCGUUAGUCUACAUUUAUUCACCUUAUGAAUAAAUAAUAUUUUCUAUCUUAUCUACCUUUCUUUUUACUCACGAACAACAUUCGACCUAACUUUCAUUCGGAGGCAGCCCACUCUAGGUCCGGUCUUAAUCUAAUAAAAAAUUUUCUCUCCCCACUUUCUUUCAAUUCUUACAAUUCCAAAAUGACAGGCUAAUAGACCCAACUCUUGAGCAUAUAAAGGCAGAUUACAAUUGAGGUUGCAAUAUUCAAAUGUAGGACAACCAUUUCUCUUAGAAUAAUGUUUUCUUUGAGUGGCUCAGGAAUAUGAUACUCCAAAAUCCAAAAUUGGGGCAUAAUUUUUGAGGUUUCAAUAAAACCUCAAAAAUUUCACAAGUAAACAAUAUAUCAAUGACGUGCAAAAAAUGCCUUUCAUUCUAAAUUGGGGCAGAAAUUUUUGAGAAUUUCUCAAAAAUUUCACCAUGAUAAGUACAAGUUCCAACGGUCCAUGAAGCAGAAAUAAUGACCAAAGAGUCAAAUUGAGCAAGGUACGAAUCAACAUUUUUUUGACUAACAAUUUUUCUUUGUGUACAAACAACAGGUACUAAAUGCAACAACGAUGUUGUGAUAUCAUCAAAGAGGC
rnacentral:lncRNA from 1 species